GAUGAAGAACGUAGCGAAAUGCGAUAAGUAAUGUGAAUUGCAGAAUUCAGUGAAUCAUCGAAUCUUUGAACGCACAUUGCGCCCCUUGGUAUUCCGAGGGGCAUGCCUGUUCGAGCGUCAUUAUAACCCCUCAAGCUCAGCUUGGUGUUGGGGCCUGCUGCACUGGCAGCCCUUAAAAUCAGUGGCGGCGCCAUCUGGCUCUAAGCGUAGUAAUUCUUCUCGCUAUGGAGUCCUGGUGGAUGCUUGCCAUCAACCCCCAAUUUUUCUAUGGUUGACCUCGGAUCAGGUAGGGGUACCCGCUGAACUUAAGCAUAUCAAUAAGCGGAGGA
rnacentral:misc_RNA from 1 species